rnacentral:rRNA from 1 species
UAUCUCUGUAGAGUCUGCAUAUCAAUAAGCGGAGGAAAAGAAACUAACAAGGAUUCCCUUAGUAACGGCGAGUGAAGCGGGAAGAGCUCAAAUUUGAAAUCUUCAGGGUUCUACCUUGACGAAUUGUAGUUUAAAGAAGUGUUUUCUGUUAGAUGAGUAGCAAAAGUUCCUUGGAAUGGGACAUCAUAGAGGGUGAGAAUCCCGUAUUUGGUUAUUCAUUCUAGCUUUGUGAUACACUUACAAAGAGUCGGAUUGUUUGGGAAUGCAGUCCAAAAUGGGUGGUAAAUUUCAUCUAAAGCUAAAUAUUGGCGAGAGACCGAUAGCGAACAAGUACCGUGAGGGAAAGAUGAAAAGAACUUUGAAAAGAGAGUUAAACAGUACGUGAAAUUGUCAAAAGGGAAGCGUUUGACACCAGUGUUGUUUUCUCGAAAAUCAAUUAAAAAAAGUUGGAUUUUGUAUUGUUAAGACCUUAUCAGCUUACUGUACUCUUUUCUUGCUUUUUUUAAUGCACUUUUCGUUUAACAAGUCAACAUCAAUUUCUUUUGUUGUAAAAGAGUCAUUGGAAGGUGGCUUUCACUUCGGUGAAAGUGUUUAUAGCCUUUGGCUUCUGCAAUCGGAGAGAUUGAGGUCUGCAGCGCAGAUCCUUCGGGGCUAGAUACGUAGAUGCUAAGUUAUAGUUUUUUAUAGACAACUUGUUGACUAUAAUUAAUCAUGUAGCUUACUCGUUUGCGCUAUUUUACCUACGCUUAGGAUGUUGACGAGACUGUCGAUCUC